ensembl:lncRNA
CUGGAAAGGGUCACUUAUUUCCCCCCCACUCCAUGCAAUUUUUGGUCAAGUACCAGGAAGCCACAAAACUGAACAAAAAAUCCAGUGGUCAAAAGCAAAGGGCAGUGACUGCAACUGCACUGUCCUCUCCUCCUCUGGACUGGUGGGCCCUCCUGAUGGCUCGACAGAGAUCAGCCACGGUCCUCGCUGCUCUUCUCUGGAUCAAGGGAUCUUCCUGUGCUGAAACCCAAACCAGGACUUUAAAUAAAAGAAAAAUCGGGCUUUGGGGCGUGCCUACUACCUAUAGUAAGAAAAAACCAAACAAACAUAGCAGCAUGUGCUACAGAGAAACAAGGAACUAAAAGCAUGGCAUACCAGAACUUGUUUCACUUACGCAAUUCUGUUUGAAAACGUUCUGGCUUGAGCCAAGGGUGUGUGAAGGGCACAGUAUACUCUUGUGGCAAAAUACUUUGAGGAAAGAAACAGAACUGGAUGACGAUUCUUGCAGAGCACUCCAGACUUGGGAAUAGACUUUUCUGAGAACAUCCCACAGCUGCUCUGCAGUUUUUCCAGCGUCCUUUUGAAGAUGUGUGGAACAAUUUCAGUGUUAGUUCUUCGACACAGACAUUGAAAACUCUUUAGUUGAGCUCUGUUUUCCACAUCAGUUUAG